rnacentral:tRNA from 1 species
GGUUCAGUGGUUCAAUGGUGAAGCGCUCGUUGCGGAGCCAGAGGGUCCUGGGUUCGAUCCCCAACAGAGUCG